AAAAAGGAUAUUUAGCCUAAAAUCUCUUUGUGGCUGCUGCUUCUGACCUGAGACACACUGAGAUCAUCUCAGAUCAGCAUUUUUAGAAAGAUCUGUACACAUUUUUGAUUUGAGAAUCUGCCUUGGUUGCAGAUGUGUCUCCUAAUAUCUAAAGAGGAGAAAGCUAGAAAUCUUGAGGAAUGUCCAUCUGGCUGAAGCAACCUGGGACCAAACAAACUCAACAGCCAGUCUUCUAUUCCUUGGCCCCAUUUUAUUCUCUCUCAGCCUCAUCAUCCGCCUGAGAGGACUCCAUUGAACAGAUUUGGAUUUGGCUUGCUUGAUGCUGGACGAUUAAUGAAGGAAGCCCUAACUGGACAAAUGUUGGUCUCCUGAGACAAUGUGUUGUUGAUAACAGAAAAGGAUUGACAACAAGAUGUGGAUGUUCAUCUUUAAUGAACUGUAGUCACCAAGUGGAAAUCAGCUAAUUUUGACGAUACAACUGACCACCUUCUCAGCAAUAGCUGAAUAUUUACUCCUUCACAAAAUGAGCAAGCCUAUUAACUGUGAACGUGGAGAGAUGAAGCAAGCAAAAAACAAGAGAAGUGUGAAGAGCUUUGCAGCCGUAUCAUCUGUGACACUGUAUCAGCUCCUAGUUUUAGGGUCGAUGAGUGAAUAGGUGUAUAAGAGAUACACUGUAAUCCUACAAAGAAUGGUUUUUUCAAAGAAAUAAAGGGAAAAAAUUAAAAGGGAUGUCAGUAUAUUCUCAGGCACUAUAUGAUGACAAUCUUAGAGAGGGAGCUUCAUUUGGUGUUCUUCUGAUUUUGAAUCUAUACAGUGGAACAGUACUACAGAGAGACCUAGAUGAUAAUGUUCUUGAUCUUAUCAAGUGUUGCCAUAGUACUAGUAUUGUCACUUUCUUGUUGAAUUUACUCACGUGACAGAAACCAUUCUGUUAUAUAAGUUAAAGAUUCACAUUCUGUCCUUCAUUUUUGCGCUUUACAAUAUUGUUAAAAAAAAAGACAGAAAGGGACUAAAUGGGGCAGGAAGAGAAGAAAAAUAGAGGUGAAGUAAUAGCAAAAAUCAAACAUUAAAUAUUUCCUUUAACUGCAGCCAGAGGUGGUUAUUAUAUUUGACCAAAUAACCAAAUCCUCCAUCACAAGUCAGAACUUCACUUUUUAUUUCAAUACUCUUGAUAGAAAGGACCCAAUCCAUUAUUCUGUGUGUGCUAAAUAGUGUACUACCAACACUAAUAGACCAAGCAGAUGGUUUUGUUUUAUUGUCUGAAUGGUGUAAUGUUUUACUGCAAAUAUAAAUAGUGUACUCAUUUACCUGAUCCAAGUUCCCAAUGUACUUUAUAAUAAACCAAGUAAUUUUGACAGAAAUAUGUUGACCAAGCCUAGCCUAACACAUUGCCUAACACUUUGCAUAAGUCAAAAAUUAUUGAAAAUUAAGAACAGGAAAAGAAUCAUUCUGUUUACAUUUGUUAGGUUAUAUCCAUAAUAAACUUGUAAAAAAUGAAAACAGAAGAAAUUAUUAAAGCAGAUCCAAAUAUUACAUUUAUUCUAGAAUUCAAGAUUACAUCAUUUUCUGCUCCAACAGAAGAGUGUGAUGUCACAAACAUCAGAUUUUUCCAAAGACUUUCCUGAAAACAUUUCCUAUCAUGGAAUACUUCACCUUGCUUUCUUCUUACAGAUAUUCCUUCUAGAAACGUGUCCCUUUGGACAAGCAGUUAAGGAAUAUCAGGGGGGUAGUCUGGAGCAUACCACAACGUGGGACACCAAAGCAUUACAGAUUGCUCUCGUGGGAAUUGCUGGUUGGGAAUUGGUGGUGGGUCAGAAAAAAUAGCCAAAGCAGAGUGCCCAGGAGUGCCCCAGGGAUCAGAAGCAAGACUAAACAUCACUCUUCCAAACCAAGAUUUCUGAGCUAACCUAGAUUUUCAUUUAUAGUUAAAGCAGAGAGAUUUUAUUCUUACGAUGGAUUUUUAUCUCAGAUAAAAUCAAGCAAGCAAAAGGACUAUAACAUUAGAUCCUCCUUCUGCAUUCCACCAAAGGAGAACUGGGCAAAAAACAGAGGGAGUGAUUUGCUGGGGUAAGAUGAACCCUAGGCUGAACAAGACCUCCUGUCCUGUUCAGAGGCUGCCCUUUCCUGACUGUGAUGUAGAAGAAAGACAGCUAUCAGUAGGCCCUUGCAAAAACCCUUCACCUGUUUUUGCUCAAAGUGACAAAGCCCAGAGGACAAUGUCUGUAUUCCCUACUGGUCUGUAGGGAGUGUGAUGUAGCUGAUGCAAUUCCUGGCUCCAGCACACCUGCAAGGUCUCAUUGAUCUGCUGCUCACUGCUCUGAAAACUCAGAAAUCUAUUAUCAGUGUGAGCAUGUGCUUAUUGAUCAGAUUACCUGCUUCUGUUCCCUGUAUGCACCUAAUUGUAGCAGCGUAAGCGCACACACACACGUAAAUAUACACACAUGUUUUCGUAUAUACAGGCAUGCACACACAGGUUAUGGGGAUGUGUGUAUGUCAAAGGCUUUACUUUCUUUUUUUUUAUUUUAUUUUUUGCCUUACAAAACUGCGCAUAAAUAAAAAGAAUGGACCUUCUCUGUGAAACGUGAGCACAGGAACACUCACAAGUGGCCAAGAGCUGCUAAAUAAUUAAUCAAUAGAGCAGUGUGGCAGUUUGAAAUGUAAAUGUGAUGGAUGAAGGUGUGAUGCUUGUCAUCAAGCAGAAAAUGAUGUGACUGGAAUGGAUAACCCACAGUACCUGCUAACUGGCAAAAGCUUGGACACAAAGAUAAAGUAAAGCCAUCAGAAAGCAGCCCUGGCAACCCCUAAUUCUUGCCUUUGACCCACAAUUCACUUUCAUGUCUCUGUCCCAGAAGAGAUGUUUAAAAAAAUGAUGAAGAGAUAUCUUGGGGUGGGAAAGGGGAGAGAAAAAAACCAUCAGAAGAAAUGCUACCUGACAAGGCUGCAGGCUACA